rnacentral:rRNA from 1 species
CCCUUAGAUGUCCUGGGCCGCACGCGCGCUACACUGAGUGUCUGAGAUACGAGUCUGCCUGGUCCGGCAAGGUCUAGGUAAUCGCUAAAAGACACAUCAUGCUUGGGAUAGAUUAUUGCAAAUAUUAAUCUUGAACGAGGAAUUCCUAGUAAGCGCAAGUCAACAGCUUGCGUUGAUUACGUCCCUGCCCUUUGUACACACCGCCCGUCGCUACUACUGAUUGGAUGUUUAAGCGAGGUUCUCGAACUGCUAGCGACUUAGUUUCGGUGAGGUCGCAGUGUGGGAAGUGAACCUAGCUUUGGUGUCUAGAGGAAGUAAAAGUCGUAACA